GCCAGGCGAGGUGGCGCACGCCUGUAAUCCCAGCUACUCAGGAGGCUGAGGCAGGAGAAUCGCUUGAACCCAGGAGGUGGAGGUUGCAGUGAGCCAAGAUCACACCAUUGCACUCCAGCCUGGGUGACAGAGUGAGACUCUGUCUCAA
rnacentral:sRNA from 1 species